rnacentral:rRNA from 1 species
CCGGCGACCGGCGCACGGGUGAGUAACACGUAUGCAACCUGCCCUCCGCAGGGGGAUAACCCGGAGAAAUCCGGACUAAUACCGCGUGGUACACCAGUGGGGCAUCCCACUGGUGUUAAAAGGAAGUGAUUCCGGCGGAGGAUGGCAUGCGGCGCAUUAGCUUGUUGGCGGGGUAACGGCCCACCAAGGCAACGAUGCGUAGGGGUUCUGAGAGGAAGGUCCCCCACACUGGUACUGAGACACGGACCAGACUCCUACGGGAGGCAGCAG